AGAUCUGCCUUCUUUGACAGACAGAGGGCUUUGAAACUCAAAUGGGGCAAGGAAAGAGACAGAGAGUGGGUGUUUGUGAAAAGCCAGAAACAGCGCCUGUGCCUCCACGUCUCCGUUACACAUAUCGAUUCUGACAGCUCAAAUUAAUAUGUCAGAUGCUGUGAUCCUCGCUGGCGACAGGCCUUUUGACCCUAUCAGUGCAAUCUGCUUCCCUGAUUGAAAAUCUCUGCACCUCAAAUUGAUUCAGAGUUUUAUAAACAUCCUGCAGCCACAAUUCAAGGAAGCCAUCAAUGAAAAACUUAGGAGAGAUUCAUUUGCCUGCUUCUGCCCCCGGCCCCUCCAACCAGCAGGGCAACUAGCAAAGGGACAAAAGGAAGGCUGAGAGUUCCAGGGACCCCCAGCUGAGGUGCUCCCCCUACAUACACACACACACACACACACACACACACACACCCUGCCUGCAUCCAAAAAUGCAGUUGAAAUGAGCCAGUGAUGCCGGGAGCAGUGGCUCAUGCCUGUAAUCCCAAAAUUUGAGAAGCCAAGGCGGGUGGAUCACCUGAGGUCAGGAGUUCGAGACCAGCCUGGCCAACAUGAUGAAACCCCGUCUCUACUAAAAAUACAAAAUCUAGCUGGGUGUGGUGAUGGGCGCCUGUAAUCCCAGCUGCUCAGGAGGCUGAGGAAGGAGAAUUGCUUGAAUCAGGGAGGUGGAGGUUGCAGUGAGCCGAGAACGCACCACUGCACUCCAGCCUGGGUGACAGAGCGAGACUCCAUCUCAAAAAAAAAAAAAAAAAAGAGAGAUAGAGAAAGAAAUGAGCCAAUGACAGGGUCAGAUUAGGCAUCAGAGACUCUAGGUGCUGUGUGACCCUGAAAGAGUUCCUGAACCUCAGAGACUUGGUCUUCUCUUCAAAAAAUGACGAUAAUAAUAACUACUCUGCUUGACCCACCAGUAUUGCUGUAAGGAUGGAGAGAGAGAGGCAUUCUUAAAGCACUGAUGAAACGCAGAGAAUUGUGGCUGGUUGUUAGAAUAUACUGCGGAGACGGAUGAAACAAAAUCGGCAAAAUGCUGAUCACUGUAGACGCUGGGAGAUGGGUACGGCACAAGGAGAGUCACUAAGCUCUUCCCUCUAGUUUUGUGUAUGUUUAAAAUUUUCCCAACUAAUAUUUUUCUUUUUUAAAAGUUUUAUUUGUAAUUGACAAAUAAUAAUUUUACUGUAUAUAUUUAUGGGGUAGAGUGUGUUGUUUCAAUACAUGUAUUCAUUGUGGAAUGAUCAAAUUAGGGUACUUAGCAUAUCCAUCACCUCAAAUAUUUAUAAUUUCUCUGUGGUUAGCACAUGUAAAAUUCUUUUAGCUAUUUUGAAAUGUACAAUACAUUAUUAUUAGCUACAGUCACUUUACUCUGCAACAGAUCACCAGGACAUAUUCUUCCUACGUCACUGAAACUCUGCCCCCAUUUGCCAACAUCCCCUUUCCCCAACCAUCUCUCCCCCCGACCCACACUCCCAGGCCUCUGGUAAACACCAUUCUACUCCCAACUGUAUGAGUUCAACUUUUUUAGAUUCCAUAUAUUACUCACUAAUUUUUAAAAAGAGAUAUACGUCAAACCACAAAGUAUGUGAGUUUUGUGUGUGUGUAUGUGUGUGAGUGUGUGUGUAUGUGUACACCCACACCCAAGAAAAAGGACCAUCUGUGGGGAAGAGACAGAGUUGUCUGCAUAGUAAUUGCCUGUCAGUAAGGAUCCCUCUGUGCGGAGCCCAUUCAACUUCCUCCAGUGCCUCCAGCGCCCUCCCAGGACCUCUGGCUGGGUACUUGGCUGAUGGGAUGACCAUUUGUCCAUUCACCUGCUGUAUGGCACCUUGAGCCAGUGGGGUGUGGGGACUGGAGUGUGAUGUGGUGACGUCAGUCCUCGGCACCCAGCACAUUUUUGAUUAAAUCAGCAAUGCACCCUGCCAACCCCUCGACCCCUCUGCUACCUUUGCCACACUCAGGUCUCCCUCCAGCCAGCCCAUCAGGAAGCUUCCAGAACCUCCUGUUUUGUGGCUGCUUUCCCAGUUAUCCACAGCCAGCCAGCCCCAAGCCGGGCAGAGUGGACUGGAGGAGACUAGCAUCUGAUUUAGGUUUCUCCAUGGGUUCUCAGGGUCCAGGGAUAGUCUCAGGACCCUGACCGUAACAGCAGGAGCAGGUCGUCUACUUGUCAGCAGGUUUUGACAGCAGCAGGCAGGGCAGGCCCCAUGAUACUGGUUCUCCUAUUUCUUCCCCACACGGACAAAAGGAACACAAAAUUUUCCCCCAAACUUCUCUAGGACCUAAGGGUAACCCACGGGGGUCCCUCAUCACCCACUCCCAGAAAGUAGCAUCAGACUCUCUCCUUCCUUUGCCCACUCCCUCUAUCACCGCCUCCACCAGGCCACACUGGGGAGAAAGAGUGGAUGGGAGGGAAGAGGGAAGACUGAAGAGGAAGGAGGGGAAGGGGAAGCUGUGUGUGAUUCUUGUGUGAACCGAGAGACACCGACCACAGCCCACACCCACCAUAGGGCCCCACUUUGGGUCCCAGGAUCCAUCUCAAGCCAUGGGGGCAGUUCUCACCAGUCUCAGUUCCUCUUGGUGAGGGGAUGGUCAAGAAUGGCACAGGUCAUCGGCCUCAAGGGAAGCAGACAGCUCCCUCCCUCAGGCCACCACCCUGGAGCUCUGGAAAAAGAAUGGCCAGGACACCAUCAUCUCUUCCCAACUCCUCACCCCUGCACUUCCCAAGUUGUCACAAAUCCAAAUGCCUUCUGAAGGCUCUCGCUGAGUGCCAGGGAAGCAAAGAAAGAAACUACUCCCCACCCAUUGUCUCCAAAUAGGCAACAACAAAUAGAUGCAACAUUCACAUCUUCAAAUUCAAUCUGUCUAGGGGGUUCUCACUCUCCGGCCCUGCCUCCCUGGUCCAGGUGUGUGUGGUAUGUGUACAGUCCAGGGGAACGCACGGCCCUGGGCUCAGACCCUGGCUGCUCCACUUAACAAAUUCCUUCAUCUUUCUGUGCCUCGGUGUUCUCAUCUAAAAAAAAAAAAGGGAUAGACUGGGCACAGUGACUCACACUCAUACUAUCCCAAUACUUUAGGAGGCCAGGGUGGCAGGAUCAAUUGAGAUCAGGAGUUCAAGACCAGCCUGGGCAACAUAACAAGACCUGGUCUCUACAAAAAAUAAAAUAUUAUCCAGGUGUGGUGGCACAACCCUGUGGUCCCAGCUACUUAGGAGACUGGGGCAGGAGGAUCGCCUGAGCUCAGGACUUGGAGGCUGGAGUGAGCUAUGAUCAUACCACUACACUCCAGCCCAGGGAGUGAUGCAAGGCCCUAUCCCUAGAAAAAGUAAUUAAUUUUAAAAAAUAAAAAAAUGGAAAUAAUUGGAAUAAAUUGGAAAUAAUUGGAAACAAUUGGAAUAAAUGGAAUAAAAAAAAUUGUAUUUGCUUUGUAGGAUUGUUUUGUGGACCAGCAAGUUCAUAUUUUUGAAGUGCUUAGAACAGUGUCCGAUACAUGGUAAAUAAACCCUGUGAGUGAGCUCUCAUCCUCCUCAUCACUAUUACUGUUUGUUACUGGCUUCCUUAAAAUCAACCUUUUUCUUCCCUUCCUCCAAACUGAGCUUACUCACUCCUUCAUCUACCAAGGAAUCUGUUCUCAGAAUCCAAAUUCUUUCUCCAAACUCAAAUAUGAUGUUUCUUUCUUUCAAAUUCUCCUCCUCCCUACAGGCCCAACUCUCAUUCAUUCAUGGUGCCUCGUGACCCUCCAGAAAUAGGAUUUUUUUCCCUUGCAAAACCAACAAAAUGUCCUUUGUUCAUCCAUGAGCUUGUAUUAAUUGUAGCUGCCAGUUUACGAAGCUCUUUUUAUUAUUUAUUUAUUUAUUUAUUUUUAGAAACAGGGUCUCUCUUUGUCACCCAGGCUGAAUUGCAGUGGCACAAUCAUAGCUCACUGCAGCCUCAAACUCCUGGGCUCAAACGAUCCUCCCACCUAAGCCUCCCAAGUAGGUGGGACUUAGAGGCGUGCACCACCACACCCAGCUAAUGUUUUUUUUAAUAGAGAUAGGUUCUUACUACAUUACCCAGGCUAGUCUCAAAGCCCUGGUUACAAGGAAUCCUCCCGCCUUAGCCUCCCAAAGCAUUGUCAUUACGGGCGCGAGCCACUGUGCCAGGGCUAGAAAAUUCUUUUACUUACAAUAAGCCAUUAAUCCUUGGUGGGGGCUGGGAAAGAGAAGCAGUUUGCCCCAGCCCUUUCCCUUCCCACUUACAGCUUGUCAAUGGCAGAGCUGAAGUUGGACUCCUAGCCUAUCUGACCGUAAAUUCAGGAUUCUCCCAGAACUUUACCUGCCCCCGGUGAGACACACACCUGAGAAGUAACGCUGGGCAGAGAGGAGAAGCCGUGUUCAGGACCCUUCUAUUCCUCACAUUUAGUGGUCUCUAGAACUGUUCAUCUGAAAUUUUUGGUUAUUCCUAACUAAAAAGUGGUGGUGGGGAUGAAGGUCAACAUGGGAAAAUGUUUGUGAUACAUCAUUGACUUAAAAAUAGGUUAUAGGGGCCAGGCGCAGUGGCUCAUGCUUGUAAUCCAAGCACCUUGGGAGGCUGAGGCACGCGGAUCACUUGAGGUCAGGAGUUCAAGACAAGCCUGGCCAACAUGGUGAAACCUCAUCUCUACUAAAAAUACAAAAUUAGCCGGGUGUGGUGGCACACGCCUGUAGUCCCAGCUACUCGGGAGGCUGAGACAGGAGAAUCACUUGAACCUGGGAAGGGGAGGCUGCAGUGAGCCGAGAUCAUGCCACUGCACUCCAGCCUGGGCGAGACAGAGUGAGACUCUGUCUCAAAAAAUAAAAAAAUGAAAAAAAAGAAGCUAUAGGCUGGGUGCAGUGGCUCAUACCUGGAAUCCCAGCAAUUUGGGAGGCUGAGGUGGGAUCACUUGAGGCCAGGAGUUUGAAGCUGCCGUGAGCUAUGAUCAUAACACUGUAUUCUAGCCUGGACAACAGAAUGAGACCUUGUCAAAAAAAAAAAACUUAUAAAGUAUUAUGUGCAACAGGGUUUCAUUUUUCUGAAAAUACACACAUUUAAAGAAGAGGCUAGAAGGAUAGACCUUCAGCUUUGACAGUGGUAAAAUUCAUGUUUUUUAUUCUCUUGUUUAUCUGUACUUUCUAAAUUUUCCACAAAAUGCAUUAUUGGAUUUUUAAUGUAGGAAAAUUAUGAGACCUGGAGACAAUGGACUCAGAUGUCCAAAUGUUCUGACGUUUACCGGAGGCUUCAGGGCUUAGAGCUUUCUGCUUACUGAGGAGAAAUGACAAACAAUGGGCUCUCCCUGUUUGGGACCCUAAGCCCACAGGCCGAUGGCAGCCCCUGCAUUUCCAGGAAAGCCUUGGUUCCUCCUCAGACUCAGAGUGGGGCAGCCAGGAAUGGGCACCACCAGCCCCACUGGGGAGAGAAAGUGCUGUCACCUGCGUUGCCAUCACCAAUGUGGGGCUCCUUCGGGGCCUCGCCAGCACUUGCACACUUUAUUUAAUUUUUUUUAAUUUCCAUAGAUUUGGGGGGAACAGGUGGUAUUUGGUUACAUGAGUAAGUUCUUUAGUGGGGAUUUGUGAGAUUUUGGUGCACCCAUCACCCAAGCAGUGUACGCUGAACCCAAUUUGUAGCUUUUUAUCCCUCACCCUUUUCCCACCCUUUCCCCCUGAGUCCCCAAAGUCCAUUGUAUCAUUCUUAUGCCUUUACAUCCUCACAGCUUAGCUCCACUUAUGAGUGAGAACAUAUGAUGUUUGCUUUUCCAUUCCUGAGUUACUUCACUUAGAAUAAUAGUCUCCAAUCUUAAAUCACUUGAACCUGGGAGGCGGAGGUUGGAGUGAGCCAAGAUCGUGCCACUGCACUCCAGCCUGGGUGACAGAGGAAGACUCCAUCUCAAAAACAAAGCAAAAAAAGAGAAUAGUAGUCUUCAAUCUCAUCGUGGUUGCUGCGAAUGCCAUUAAUUCAUUCCUUUUUAUGACUGAGUAGUAUUCCAUUAUAUAUAUUAUAUACACAACAGUUUCUUUAUACACUCAUUGAUUGAUGGGCUGGUUCUAUAUUUUUGCAAUUGCACUUAUGCAUUUUAAUCAUUUAAUCCACACCACAGCCUCAAGGUAAGUGGGACAGUUAAUCCUUUUCUCCAUCCCACAAAUCAGGAAACUGAGACCCAGAGAGGCGAGGGGAUUUGCUCAAGAUCCCACAACAGUCAGAACCAGGGAUCGACAGAGCCUGGCUUCCUGGCAUUCAGUUUACCGCACACACAGCAGGUCCCAUCGGCCCUGGGAUGGCGCAGGAUUUAUGGUGGGCAUGUUGAGAAGCCACACCAGCCCUCUUGUUUCCCAAAUAUCUCCCUCGGGUCUUUCCAGGGAGUGUCCCGAUCCUGCCUGGCCUCAGAACUUCCUGACCAGAACCACUCCUGAGCCAGGUGACUGCAGAAGGGCCCGGGUAGGUUCACUGGCUAAUGCAACUGUGACAAGAGACCACAUGCUGGGUGGAUUAAAUGACAGUGAAGGAUUGUCCCACAGUUCUGGAGGCUUGAAGUCUGAGAUCAAGGUGUCAGCAGGGUUGGCUCCUACUGAGGGCUCUGGGGAAGGAUCUGUUCCAGGCCUCGCUCCUUGGAUGGUAGGCGACCAUGACUUGGUGGGUAGGUGACCAUGGCUUGGCGGGUAGGUGGCCAUGGCUUGGCAGGUAGGUGGCCAUGGCUUGGAUGGUAGGUGACGGUGGCUUGGAUGGUAGAUGACUGUGGCUUGGUGAUAGGUGACCAUGGCUUGGAUGGUAGGUGACCAUGGCUUGGUGGUAGGUGGCCAUCUCUUCCCUGUGUCUUCACAUGGUCAUCGCUCUGUGCCUGUCUGUGUCCUAAUUUCCUCUUCUUAUAAGGACACCAGUCAUAUUGGAUUAGGCCCCACCCUAGUGACCUCACUUUAAUUUAAUUACCCCAUUAAAGACCCUAUCUACAAAGAUAAUUACAUUCUGAAGUACUGGCAGGUUUAGGACUUCACUAUUUGAAUUUGUGGGGGAGACACAAGUCAACCCUUAGCAGGUAAAACCCCCUUUACCUGGAAGAGUUCCCCAAAUCUCUCCUGCUGGCACUCCAGCAGGAAUUGGAUGUCCACCUAUCCUGGUGACCUGAGUCCUGAGAAGGGUGGGAAGACAAGGAACAACAGGGGAAAAAGCUGGCAGCGACAAGUCCUGGGAUUUGGGGCAGGAGUUACAACAGGAGGGAGCUGGAAUGAUGGGUGCCAGCAAGGGCAGGUCCCCAACAAGCUAGUGUGAGACAAGGAGGCUGGCCCAGGGCCCAGAUGGCCCACAGGUCUAUGGAGACUGUCAUUCCACUGGCAAGGGAGGCAGGUGCACCAUAAAAUAUUUUUACCUGUAAAGAAGGAUUAUUAUAGGAUAAUUGCUUUCCUAGCAAGAAGAAGCAAAAAUCAGAAAGCUCUGGGACUUUGGACUAGUCACUUCCAUAUCAGUAAAUGAAGAUUAGCCAGAUGGCUUCCACCUUCCCCUCCAGCACUGAUGUUUUCAAAUUCUAAGACAGUGAAUCUUUCUCCAAAUUUCGCUAGAACUGAUAAGAUUUCAUCUGGGCCUGGCACGUAGUAGAUGCUCAGAUACAUCCAGCUUCCUCCCUCCAGCUGCUGCCUUCCACUCUAUGGCUAUCAUCAACUCCCAAUUCCUCCUUUUGGGUUAAAACAAGAAAGAGGAAGAAGAGGUAGCAUCAUUAGAUGCUGGGUGUACAACGCCCUUGGAAAGAAUGCCCCAGAAACCAAUGACAACAGCUGCCUCUGAGAAGGAGGAGCACAAUAGUGAGGGGUCAGAACUGAGAGCAAUUUUCAUCUUCACUGCAUAUUUCUUUAUACCUUUUGCUUUUUAAACCACUUGGAUGUACUACCUAUUAAAUUAAUUUUACAAGGUUGCAAAAGAAUGGGAUAACCAGUGCACACAGAGCCCUGAGUUUGUGAUGGUUCCUGGCUCCCAGUCAUCUCCAGCCCACCCUCGUCAGUGAGUCGGUCCUUCAUCUUCAUCCUCGUGUUGGUGAUGCUACUGAGCUGCUGACCCCACAUGGUACCAAGUAACCCCUACGCAAAUCCUAUGACCUUCACACCAACCUUAGAGCUAGGGAAUAGUGUUGUCCCCCUGUUAGAGGGGAGAAAACUGAGGAGCUCAAAAGACAAGAAACUACCUAAAGAUCCCACCAGGUGUGUCCAGCUCCUGAAGCUACACUCUGGGCCAUUAGUUCUUGCCACUCCAACCCCUUCUGCUCCACAUCCACUCCGAAUGUGCAUGUCCUGGCCCCUCAGUAUAGACCAAGGAUGUAGAGAAAAGAGUUUGUGUCAUUUAUUUUUAUAUUCUCCAACUCUCCCCUUUCUCCACCCCACCAAAAAAAUAAUAAUAGUAGCUUUCCUAGCCCUGAACAAAAAUGAGCAUUUGUUCAAUAUUUGCUGGAUUGAAUUAAACUUAUCAAAAACAGAGUCCCCUUCCAGACCACAGCCUUCAUCGUCAUCAUCGUCAUCAUCAUCAUCAGCAAAUGUUUCAUGAGGCAUCUACAUUGUGCUAGCAUCUGGAGAAGACUUAUAGAUGCUUAAGCCUGGCAGAUCUAGAAAGAGCUUCUAGAUAAUACUUCAGGGUAGGGCAGAUUAUGGAGCACCUCUAGAAAUGUUUGCAAAACUGCCUUUUCCCUCCUCCUAUCCCACACACACCCAUGCACACUCAUAAAAUAUUCUCAGUUGAGAUAAGAUGUUUCAGCCAUAAAUCCAUCAUGGUGGGGCAGGAGGUUUCAUUUAGCAAGUACAGAGCUGCAUUGCAAAGCAGUUAUCAAUUCAAGGAGGAAAGGUGCUCAGCUCGCCUAUCUCCUCAUCUCCCAGCUCUGGCGGAGACACCUGUCAGAAGGAGAGGCAGCAGCUGCCUUUCAGGUCUGACAUCUCUGAGGCCUGGCUGGGAUGGGGCUGGCCCCUGGGGCUGGGCAGGGUGCUUCCAGACAAAACUAGGACUGGGUGACCUCCUCAGAUGGGAGCAGGGCAUGGCUUUCAGAAGUAACCCCCCACCAAAAGCAGGGAAUUCUCCUUCAUCCCCUUGAUCCUUAAGAGAAGGGGCUCGUCCUGCCCUGUAAACCAGAAAAUUGGUCCUAAAGUUUGAGAUCAGAAGCAUUUUGCCGCUGGAGCUUUCUCAGAGAAGGGAGGUCAGUAUUCCAAUGCCAUAGAUAAUAGUCAGAGAGUCAUUCUCAUGGGAACUAAGCUUUGCCUAUCACUGUUAAGUUUACAAAACACCUGCUAUGCACCAUCUCAUUAGCUAUUAUUUCACAAUGAUCCAGUGAGGUCAGCAGGGCAAAUGCUCUAUACCCUUAUGUUCACUUGAGUCACAAUGAGAUAAACUGACUUGUUCAAGAUCACACAAUUUGUUAAUGACGUAUAUUAGGUUGGAUCAUCUGAGGCUGCCUAUAAAGAUGGACAACCCCGGUCUUCUCCCUUUGACUUCAGAGGGCAAAGAGAAGGCUUGAUUUGUGCCUUGGCUGGCAAAGCCCCCCAGUGGGGUAGGAGUCACUCUGUCCACAGUGACCACACACAGCUUUCAAAUCCAUAGGUCCCUUCAUGGCUUUGGAGGAGGGGGAAAAACUGCACCUUAGACCUUCUUUAUUCUCCAUUCCUUUCUGUCCUCCAGGACCAAUGGGGUAGGUCAGCCCCAGUGAACUCUCAAAUGACCACUGAAGGAGGAAGUGAGUGCAGAGUGUGAUACCACUCACAUCCCAGCCCAGACUGUUUGCUCAGCUGGGAGGAGUGUUGCAAUUCUUCUUCCUGCAGAGAUAACACCCCUUCUCAUGGCUUCAGGCAUCACCUAUCUCCUCUAGGCUGCGCUCCUACUUGUCCAUCUCUGCUUUGACCUUGUUUCCAGGCUCCAGGAAGGACAUUUGCAUGUAGCUGCCUUGCCCCAUUGCAGUCUACAAGCCUGAAGUCGGGGCUGUUCAUUCCAUUCCCCUUAGGCCCCCACUUCCUCUCACUUUCUCUCUCCCCAAGCUGGAAACCUCAGAUCAUUUCUAAAUUCUUUCUUCCCCUUUGCAUUUCAAUGAACAGAAGUUCCAUCAAUACAUUUUAUCACUGUUCAGUCUCAUCACAUUCCAUGCUUAAGGCUCAAAGAGACCUAUAGAAACAGCACUGUUGCUCACUCAAUGGGCAAAGGCAGGGAGGCCCAGCCCAUUUGCAGUGGGAUUCUCUUCCUCUCCCGCCUCUGUGGCCCUGACUCUAGACUUGGGCUCCAAGAUGUUGGAAUGGUGUCUCUCCCCCUCACUACCCUGCACAUAGCACAGUGCCCUGGUAAACAUGAGGCCUCAGAAACACUCCCUGCUCCAGGCACUUAGAACUUAAGAGUUUUUUGUUUGUUUGUUUGUUUGUUUGUCUUGAGACAAGGUCUCGCUCUGUCACCCAGGCUAGAGUGCAGUGGCGCGAUCAUGGCUCACUGCAGCCUCGACCUCCUGGGCUUAAGCAAUCCUCCCACCUCAACCUCCCAAGUAGCUGAGACUACAGGCAUGCACCACAUGCCUGACUAAUUUUUGUAUUUUUUGUAGAGAUGGGGUUUCAACACGUUGCCCAGGUUGGUCUCAAAUUCCUGGGCUCAAGUGAUCCCCUCCUGCCUUGAUCUCCCAAGUUGCUGGGAUUACAGGUGUAAACCACCAUGCCAGGCUAGGAAUUUAGAGUUCUUAAUACUAGUCUGGCUUCUAGCAUUCUCGAGCAAUGGGGAAAGAAACCAGAAAACACACAGAAGGGACAGGUGUUUGGUUUAGGGACCACCUUCACUCUAGCCGGCCGCAUUCCAUUUUUAAACCUAUCUGCUGGUAUUCCAUUUUUAAAUGAGUCUGACUCCAUCCGUCUACUCAGCCUUACUCCCUGACAGCUUCUGACAAACUUGCUCUGACUUAUGGACACAUAGAUCUGGGUCCAGUGCAGUUUAACUCUGGAAGCAGUGCCCGCCCUCAUUGCCCGAGCGAGUAGGCAAGUGGCAGGGUCUUGGGGAUGAGAAUCACAAGCCCUGCCUUGCCUCUCUUCUCACCAGUGCUGGAAAUGCCAUUGACAGGGAACAAUCUAUACAAUGGGAUGAGACCUCAAAAGCAAAUGCGGCUGGGCACAGUGGCUCACGCCUGUAAUCCCAGCACUUUGGGAGGCCGAGGUGGGCAGAUCACCUAAGGUCAGGAGUUUGACACCAGCCUGACCAACAUGGCAAAACCCCGUCUCUACUAAAAAUACAAAAAUUAGCCAGGCGUGGUGGCAGGUGCCUGUAAUCCCAGCUACUCAGGAGGCUGAGGCAGGAGAAUCGCUUGAACCCGGGAGGUGGAGGUUGCAAUGAGCUGAGAUCACACCAUUAUACUCUAGCCUGGGCGACAAGAGCAAAACUCCAUCUCAAAAAAAAAAAAAGCAAAUGCACCUGGGAGAACUAAAUGUUGGCUUAAAUUCAUGCUAAGGUGUAAAUGACUGCUAGCAGUGCUUUCCUGAACGCUGACUGAUGAUAAAGGAGGAGAAGGUGCACCCAGAGUUGAUGCAGUCAACAUGCUUUGGUGGACAGAGCACUGGGCCAAGUCUGGCGAUGGGAGAUCUAGUCUCCACUCUGCCUGUCAUUUAUCUGAUGAUUUUUAGGAAAGUUAUUCUACCUCUUCGAGCCUCGAUUUACAAAUCUACAGCAGGGGACAAUUCAGCUAGGUAAUCUCUAAGGUCUUUUCAGAUCUGGCAAAUUGUGAUUUGGCUGUUGCCUCUAGCCUACCCCCAUUUGUCUUCUUAACCUCGCACUGUGCAGGUAACAUGAUCACACCUGUGCCGAAAACUCCUGUUGUUCAGACCAGAGUCAAACAAUGCCUCCCAGGCAGAUUUAGAAACCAAGGUCAUCAAAACCCUGAGGAAUACAGAAAGAGACAGAAGACCAAAUUUCAAUAUAGUCAACGAUCCUUUGGAAUCACGGGGGUAGAGCUCCGUUAGACAUGACAUAAGACCCUGUGGUCACACAUAUGAAAUUACAAUCAUCCCUCAGAUUUGUGGAGUGAGUUACCAUGAGCCAUCCCCUUUCCUAUCCCUUUUCUAAUUUGAUCUUCCCUAAAACUGUGGGAAGCAGACAGGGCAAGAUGUUUCACCCCCAUUUCACAGAUUUAGAAAUUGAGUCUCAGAUGGAAGAAUCAUAGCAAGUGAGUGGCAGCCAAGCCUCCAAUUCAGAUCAAGUGAGGAGUCCUCAUGUCCCAGGCCCCCAUCACCCACUGCCACUUCCUUUCUUAUUUUCCACCUGUGUUUCGAGAUACGAAAGUGAGGGAGAAAAAGGCAGAGGGAGGCAUCUCUGCCGGAAAAUCUGGGUGAGCGGCGAAGUCCACAGAGGCUCAGUCGCUCCUGUCAGCUCUCUCUCCUCUCUCCUUCUCGCUGCCUGCAGCCAGAAACCUCAGACCACAACCUUCUUACUGCAGCCUCCCGCCUGGGACAGCGCCUUGUCCCCAUGCCCCGUGAGGCCAGCUUGCUGCAGCAAGCCUCACCAUGGUUAGCUCUCCUUUGCCCCUUCCCCUUCAGCUCUGCCCCGCCAAGGCCAGGCCUACUCUGGGAUCAUUAUGAAGCAGGUGACCUCCGCUCAUGACUAAUUGUGCAAGUAGGGCAGAGGUAACAACAAUCCCAGGAAAGGGGGUGGAGGCAGGGAGAGAGAGAAAAAUAAGAGAGAGACAGACAGACAGACAGAAAAAGUACUGCUUUAAUAAGAGGGUAAUUGCCCUGUUUAGGAUUACAAUCUGCCAGCAUUUCACUAAACUUUAUGACACAUGAUGACAAGUUAAUAAGCCAGAUGCCUCACUAUGUGCCUUAAGCAGAUGCUCCAUGGGUUACCUCCCAUGCCUCCUCGUGCAGGGAGGUAACCCCUGCAGCCAGAAAAACACACAGGGCCAGCCAAAAUAAAAAAAAAUCCCCAGGAAGGUGUGGGAGAAGAGAGCCGAAAAGGUGGGGAAACUGGUUAUUUCUGUUGUCAAAAUGGCCCCAGCAAUAAAUCACCAUUAAUAAUACUGUCAUCUAUCAAAGAGGAGCUCUGGUUGCCAAGGCCUUUGAAGUGGCAGCACCUAUAAUUUCCCACCUAUAAAAGGUACCUUUGUGCAUAUGUCAUGCUGGAAGAUGACAAGAGCAAGACACCAAGGAGUUCACACCGUCUCCACGCCCCUCCCAAUGGCGAGCCCUUGGAGUGCCAAGCCAUGCCCACUCCCUCCUUCACCCGGGAUGGCCCAGGGCCUGCCUGACUUCAUUCACUUGCUGGAAGGCAGAGGGGCUGGGUGGAAGGAGGGGUGGGGACUGCCAGGAGUGGCUGCAUGUCCAGACAGAUCCGGGAGCUCCCAGCCCCUCUCACCAGCUAGCUGCGCUGUGAUGGGGAGGGACACUUUCCAUCCUCCCCUCAGCUCCAACCCCCAAGAGCGAAGGCCUGAGGGAGCCUGAGGUCUAAGACAGUGUCUGUCAAAAAGGGAGCCCUGCCAGGCACGGUGGCUCACACCUGUAAUCCCUGCAUUUUGGGAAGUCGAGGCAGGUGGAUCACCUGAGGUCAGGAGUUCAAGACCAGCCUGGCCAACAUGGUGAAACCCCGUCUCAACUAAAAAUACAAAAAUUAGCCAGGCAUGGUGGCAGGCACCUAUAAUCCCAGCUACUUGGGAGGCUGAGGCAGGAGAAUUGCUUGAACCUGGGAGGUGGAGGUUGCAAUGAGCUGAGAUCACACCACUGCACUCCAGCCUGGGUGACAAGAGUGAAACUCUGUCUCAAAAUAAAGAAGGGAGUCCUGACACAGCAUCACCAGGGAGUCUCCCCAGGUGCCCCUGCUAGGGAUCGGGAAAUUACGGGGGGCAUGGGAUGUGAGGACGCCUCACUUGACCUGAGUUGGAGGCUUGACUGCCUCUCACUUGCUGUGAUUCUUCCAUCUGAGACUCAGUUUCUUAAUCUGGAAAAUGGGGAUGAAAAUUCUUGCCCUGUCUACUUCACACAGUUCCACAGAGGAGCAAAUUAGAUAAGGGAUGAGAAAGGGGAAACUAGAUGGUCAUAGAAUCUGCAUCUUGAUCCAGCUCCCCAGGAAGUGAGUUUCACACACACGAAGGUUUAAGAAGCGCUGGCCGUGGUCCCUUCCCCUCUGCCAAACCAGGAGUAUGAACGCUUAGAAAGGCGGCUAGGGCUGCCUCACCAGAAAUUGAUGGCCUCUGGGUUUUGGAGGCUGGAAGGCCAAGACCAAGACCAAGGUAUUGACAGGAUUGGUUCCUUCACAGGCCCCGUCUGUGGCUUGCAGGUGACUGUCUUCUCCCCGCUUCUUCACAGGGGCUCCCCUCUGCACGUGUCUGUGUCCACGUUGCCCCUUAUCCAACAAGGACACAUUUCUAUUGGACUAGGGCCCACCCUAGUGACCUCAUUUUAACCUAAUUACCUCUUUAGAGACCCUAUCUCCAAAUACAGUCACAGUCUAAGGUACUGGGGUUAUGAGUUCAACAUAUAAACUUUGAGGGGGACAGAAUUCAGCCCCUAACAGGCCUUAAAGCUCAGCCCAGGAUGAGCCCUGGCCAGACAGAAAAAAGGCCCUAAAAGCCACUUAAGCUACUGGCAACAUCUGAAACUCUCAUUUCCUGAUCCUGGGAUAAAUCUUCUUCUGAAUUAACUGAGCCCAGCCCUCUAUUCCCCCACUGCACUUCAUGGGUGAUUUGUCUGUAGAUUUAAAAUAGCCGGGUGCAGUGGCUUACGCCUGUAAUCCCAGCACUUUGGGAGGCCGAGGCAGGCAGAUCACGAGGUCAGGAGUUCAAGACCAUCCUGGCUAACAUGGUGAAACCCUGUCUCUACUAAAAAUACAAAAAAUUAGACAGGCGUGGUGGCGGGCGCCUGUAGUCCCAGCUACUUGGGAGGUUGAGGCAGAAGAAUUGCUUGAACCCGAGAGGCAGAGGUUACAGGGAGCUGAGAUCGCGCCACUGCACUCCAGCCUGGGUGACAGAGCAAGACUAUAUCUCAAAAGAUAAAAUAGAUUUAAAAUAGAGGUGCCGGGCUCAGUGGUUCAUGCCUGUAAUCCCAGCACUGUGGGAGGCUGAGGCAGGAGGAUUGCUUGAGGCCAGGAGUUUAAGACCAGCCUGAGCAACAUAGUGAGACCCCAUCUCUACAAAAAAAAAAAAAAAAAAUUAAUUAGCAAGUGUGGUGGCAUGCACCUACAAAAAUAAAGAAGUAAAAUAAAAUAGGCCCACAUCCCAUCCAAGAGGAGGCUCCACCUUGGUCUUGCCUCCCAGUGAGGUACUUUUGAAUGUCACUUAGACUGAGAAUCCCAAGAUAUCUCUAAAAGUGAAUAUGUAUUGAGCAUAGAGUGUACUCUGUCCCCAGCACUGUUCUGAGAACUGAUAUCAUUUCAUCUGCACAACUACCUAUGAGGCAGAAACAAAUAAGGAACAGGUUGGGUAAUUUGCUCAAGGUCAACAGUUAGCAAGGGCCAAGCCUGGCCUGGAACCCACGUCUUUGCAAUUCUAGAGCCCACGACUUCAUCCCCGAUGGUUUUCUGCCUCCUGUCUACAUGUGGAGAUACCAAGCCAUUAAAGUUUGAGCGGCUCCUGCCGCCUGUGAUCACCCGCAGAACUGCUAGGAGUUUAGGACUAGACUUUAUCAUUUUAUGGAGGAUUUAAAGCUACUUUUAUCUGUGGGGUAUUGUUCCAAAACCAAGGCCAUAUAUUUUUAUGUGUUUUACGUAAGUGCAUGUGUAAUUUAUUGAUAGCAAGGUUUGCAUGCAUUUGUU
rnacentral:lncRNA from 1 species